rnacentral:ncRNA from 2 species
UGAGAGUCAUAUUACUGACGGAUGUGGAUAACCACAAGGGAGUAUGAUUGAAAGAGCCGACCGUCUGGGCAAACGAC